CAGGCCCCGCGGCGCCCCGGAGGGACACUGCGGGGUGGGGCCGUGGCGCAGCGGUGUCACGGGACUAAGAGCGCCCAAGAUCUGGCGGGACUACAAUGACCACAGUGCACCGGGACGGGCGUACAUCCUGACGUUAAUUGUAAUGCCAACACUCGAGAUAGUGGAGGCCUGAGGAUCAGAAGUUCAAGGUCAUCCUGUUCCACACUGUUAGAUUCAAGACUGUAAAUAAGGGAGUGGAAUUUUUAAAAACUGGUAAGAUCAAACUAAGGUCAAAUUUGUGUCUAAAGACAGGUCUGCCCCCUAAAACAAAAAUAUAGGACAAGCUGAAAGCCACGUCAGGAAUCCUGUCUGGAUAAGCUGCCGUUCUUGUUUCCCGCAAAUCCCAUGAUCAAAAUUAUCAAAUCCUGGGACUCGGAAAGGCAGAAGUGUCUGGACUUCAAGGUCAACCUGCGGGCUGGAUUCAUAGGUUUACAUGAGACCUUAGCUUCAGAAACAUGGGUUCAAUAUUUAAAGGUCAGAACUUUAAGACAGGGUCUAAAAUCCAGCUCAGUUGGUGGAGUGCCUGCCUAGCAUGCCAUGGAGCCCUGGGUUUGAUCCCAGCACCACAUUAAAUGAUUGUGAUGGCAAAUGACUGUAAUCAUAGCACUCAGUGGAGGAAGGAGAAUCAGAAGUUCGAGGCCAGCUUAAGAACCUGAGACUUUGUCUAGAAACAACAGAUGCUAGACUUGGAGGCACAUGUCUAUAAUCCUAGCAGUCAGAAAACAGGCUGGAGACUGAAAAAGUUUUGUAUCCCAAUAAACCUCUCACCUACACGAUAAUCCAAAUCGAACCAAAUCAAACCGAAUUAGAGAAAGCCCACAUUUAAUGGAUACAGGCUCUCAGAGAGGAGGUGGAGAAGGAAGACCCAUAUUGUUCUCUGUGUGUUGGAGGGAAGUUUAAAUACCCUGUGGUAGUGGUCUUGAACAUCUCUGGUGAGGGGUCAUCAUUUGGUGGACUUUCUUGGGGGUAUAGUCUGGACUGAGGCAACUCCCAGGGGAAGGGGCUGGAGUAGAACUUUCCACCCAAACAUCCCAGACUAUUUGGGUAUAGGGACUGAGGUGAAGCUUCCAACCAAACUGAGACCUUCAUUGGAGACCAGCUUGAGAUUCAUAUGGAGACCCUGUCUCAAAGAAAAUUAGAGAAAAUUGAAAAGUUCUAUAAUCCUGAGAGAAGAGUAUGUAUCUUAAACAGUGCGGGAAAUGACUGUAUUAGUUAUUUUGAAUUUUGCUGUGAUAAAAUAACAAGAAGCACCUGGAGAAAAGAAUUCAUCUGGCUCAUGGUUUAAGAACACACAGUCCAUCACAGUGGGAAGACAUGGCAGAGUUUCCGGUGGCAGGAGCAUACAGCUUCUACUCCUCACAUCUGGAAAGACCUGGAAGCAAACAGCAGUAUAUGCUGCUAUUCCUUUUUCAGUCUGUAUUUAGCCCUGGCUCCUGACCCAUGGGGUGCUGCUGCUUAUGUUGGGAGUGGGUCGUCGUCCUUCAGUUUAACCUCCCUGGAAAAUACCAUCACAAACUCGUAAAGCGGUGUAUGUCCUUUCUGAUUCCAAAUUCAGUCAAGUUGACAAUGAAGAUGUCAUGUAAGUACAUAACUUUUGAAUUAAAAAAAAAAACCAACAAAAAAUGUUCUAAUGAGAAAUGGGGGGAUGGCUAGGGACCGUGUCUAUUGUAAUUUAAAAAUGCCAUAAGAGAAGUCACACCAUGCAACAGGGCUUACAUGGAAGGUUUAUUGAAAGAGGAGAGAAGGCAGAGAAGGGGCAGAGAGGAGGGCAGAGACCAGUCCCCAGGGA